GAUGAACGCUGACAGCAUGCUUAACACAUGCAAGUCAACUGUGGCGGACGGGUGAGUAACGCGUAAAGAACUUGCCUCCCAGUUAGGGACAACAUUUGGAAACGAAUGCUAAUACCUGAUACUGUGGGAGAGCUUUGCGUCCCAUUAGCUAGUUGGAGAGGUAACGGCUCACCAAGGCGAUGAUGGGUAGCCGGCCUGAGAGGGGGAUGGGCCCCAAGGGGCCUGAGACACGGCCCUUACUCCAACGGGAGGAAGCAGUGGGUAAUAUGGGACAACGGACCAAAGUCUGAUCCAGCAAUUCUGUGGGGACGAUGAUGUUUUCGGAAUGUAAAGUGCUGUCAGUUGGGCAGCGGUACCCACAGCAGAAGUGACGGCUAAAUACGUGUCAGCAGCCGCGGUAAUAC
rnacentral:rRNA from 1 species